rnacentral:rRNA from 1 species
AUUCCUAUGGGAGGCAGCAGCAGGGAAUAUUGGCCAAUGGGGGAAACCCUGAUCCAGCCAUGCCGCGUGGGGGAUGAAGGCCUUAGGGUGGAAAAGCUCUUUCAGCGGGGAAGAUAAUGACGGUACCCGCAGAAGAAGCCCCGGCUAACUCCGUGCCAGCAGCCGCGGUAAUAAUC